AGAGUUUGAUCCUGGCUCAGAACGAACGCUGGCGGCAUGCCUAAUACAUGCAAGUCGAACGCGCCUAGCAAUAGGCGAGUGGCGGACGGGUGAGUAACGCGUGGGAACCUGCCCUUGAGUGCGGGAUAACCGAGGGAAACUUCGGCUAAUACCGCAUGCUCCCCCUCACGGGGGGAAAGAUUUAUCGCUCGAGGAGGGGCCCGCGUCGGAUUAGCUAGUUGGUGGGGUAACGGCCUACCAAGGCGAUGAUCCGUAGCUGGUCUGAGAGGAUGAUCAGCCACACUGGGACUGAGACACGGCCCAGACUCCUACGGGAGGCAGCAGUAGGGAAUAUUGGACAAUGGGGGCAACCCUGAUCCAGCAAUGCCGCGUGAGUGAUGAAGGCCUUAGGGUUGUAAAGCUCUUUCGCACGCGACGAUGAUGACGGUAGCGUGAGAAGAAGCCCCGGCUAACUUCGUGCCAGCAGCCGCGGUAAUACGAAGGGGGCGAGCGUUGUUCGGAAUUACUGGGCGUAAAGGGCGCGCAGGCGGCCUAUCAAGUCAGGCGUGAAAGCCCCGGGCUUAACCUGGGAAUUGCGCUUGGGACUGAUGGGCUAGAGUUCGGGAGAGGAGAGUGGAAUUCCCAGUGUAGAGGUGAAAUUCGUAGAUAUUGGGAAGAACACCGGUGGCGAAGGCGGCUCUCUGGACCGAUACUGACGCUGAGGCGCGAAAGCGUGGGGAGCAAACAGGAUUAGAUACCCCUGUAGUCC
rnacentral:rRNA from 1 species